AAGCAUAUGAUGAUUUACUCGGAUUCCCCUUCAAGACAUCAUGGGUGAUGCAAACCCGAGUUUUCUGAUGCA